rnacentral:tRNA from 1 species
UUUAAUAUGGCAGAUAAGUGCAAUGAAUUUAAAUUCAUUUAUAAAAAAAUUUUUUUUUAUUAAAA